rnacentral:tRNA from 1 species
GUAAGUAUAGUUUAAUUAAAAUAUUAGAUUGUGAUUCUAAAGACAGGUGUUAAAAUCCCCUUAUUUACC